rnacentral:rRNA from 1 species
GACGUAGGGGGCGAGCGUUGUCCGGAUUUAUUGGGCGUAAAGAGCUCGUAGGUGGUUCGGUAAGUCAGGUGUGAAACCUCCAGGCUCAACCUGGAGACGCCACUUGAUACUGCUGUGACCGGAGUCCGGUAGGGGAGCGUGGAAUUCCUGGUGUAGCGGUGAAAUGCGCAGAUAUCAGGAAGAACACCCGUGGCGAAGGCGGUUCUCUGGGACGGUACUGACGCUGAGACGCGAAAGCGUGGGGAGCGAACAGG